UACGUAGGGUGCAAGCGUUAAUCGGAAUUACUGGGCGUAAAGCGUGCGCAGGCGGUUCGCUAAGACAGAUGUGAAAUCCCCGGGCUUAACCUGGGAACUGCAUUUGUGACUGGCGGGCUAGAGUAUGGCAGAGGGGGGUAGAAUUCCACGCGUAGCAGUGAAAUGCGUAGAGAUGUGGAGGAACACCGGUGGCGAAGGCGGCCCACUGGGCAGUCACUGACGCUGAGGCGCGAACGCUCGGGGAGCGAACGGG
rnacentral:rRNA from 1 species